rnacentral:ncRNA from 1 species
AAGAGGGAACCCGGUGCGAAUCCGGGGCUGUCCCGCAGCGGUGAGUGGGAACGAGAGCCGUCGAUGUCACUGGGCCCGCGUCAGGGCCGGGGAAGAGACGGCCGGUAGGUAUCCGUCGUGUUGUCGGCGGACGUGCCCGCGAGUCCGAAGACCU